GGAUUGUGGCUCAAUGGUAGAGCACUCGCCUAGCACAUGUGAGGCCCUAGGUUCGAUCCUCAGCACCA
rnacentral:tRNA from 1 species